rnacentral:rRNA from 1 species
AGCGAACGCUGGCGGCAGGCUUAACACAUGCAAGUCGAGCGCCCCGCAAGGGGAGCGGCAGACGGGAGAGUAACACGUGGGAACGUACCUUUCAGUUCGGAACAACCAAGGGAAACUUUGGCUAAUACCGGAUACGCCCGUAAGGGGAAAGAUUUAUCGCUGAAAGAUCGGCCCGCGUCUGAUUAGCUAGUUGGUGGGGUAAUGGCCCACCAAGGCGACGAUCAGUAGCUGGUCUGAGAGGAUGAUCAGCCUCACUGGGACUGAGACACGGCCCAGACUCCUACGGGAGGCAGCAGUGGGGAAUAUUGGACAAUGGGCGCAAGCCUGAUCCAGCCAUGCCGCGUGGAUGAUGAAGGCCUUAGGGUUGUAAAGUCCUUUUAACGGGGAAGAUAAUGACGGUACCCGUAGAAUAAGCCCCGGCUAACUUCGUGCCAGCCGCCGCCGUAACAC